rnacentral:rRNA from 1 species
GACGAACGCUGGCGGCGUGCUUAACACAUGCAAGUCGAACGCUGAAGCUCAGCUUUUGUUGGGUGGAUGAGUGGCGAACGGGUGAGUAACACGUGAGUAACCUGCCUCCUUCUUUGGGAUAACGCCCGGAAACGGGUGCUAAUACUGGAUAUUCACUGGUCUUCGCAUGGGGGUUGGUGGAAAGGGCUGUUCUGGUGGGGGAUGGGCUCGCGGCCUAUCAGCUUGUUGGUGGGGUGAUGGCCUACCAAGGCUUUGACGGGUAGCCGGCCUGAGAGGGUGACCGGUCACAUUGGGACUGAGAUACGGCCCAGACUCCUACGGGGGGCAGCAGUUGGGACUAUUGCACAAUGGGCGCAAGCCUGAUGCCGCGUCGCCGCGUGAGGGCUGGGGGCCUUCGGGUUGUGAACCUCUUUCGCUCAUGGUCAAGCCGCAACAAUGGUUGUGGUGAGGGUAGUGGGUAAAGAAGCGCCGGCUAACUACGUG